CUUGGUGAAUUAAGACCUAAUUUUUAAAUUUAAUACAAUCGAGCUAGUAAAAUGAAUAAGCUUGAAUGAUGACUUCAUGUCAAAACUAUUGAACUGAAUAGCUUGAAAACUUGACUGUUGAGCAAAAGAAUUCACUCAAAAUCUUUUUUUGAACCAUACAGAGCCAUAAUUCUCACUCUAAUGCCAGAGCAUGAAAAAAACCAACGCUUUUUUCUUCAAAUCGUGACAAAAUGGAAGCAUACUCCAACCAUAUGGACGCAGCGUCCUGCUGCAGUAAAAAGCUUAAUUGCUAGUCAGACGGGUUUCAAUUUGUAAUGAAGAUGAAGUACUUAAGUCUCAGCACCUAAGAUUCUAAGACCCUCUUGAGUAUCCCCGAAGACUCCAGGGAACGAACCUGCUACCUUCUCUGUCACAACUUGAGACCGAAGUAUUUCAGAAAAACACCGAUCUACCAUUACUAUGAUUGGAGAUUAGUUCACAAGAUUGAUGUUUUCGUCCAAUUACUAUUACUGUAAUGUUUGAUGUUUAAUUUACGCAUCUUGUAAACACUAAGAUUGUUUUCAACGCCUGUACUGUGGCCACAUAUUAUAGACCCAUAUACUGUAUA